rnacentral:rRNA from 1 species
UACUGGCUCAGGAUGAACGCUAGCUACAGGCUUAACACAUGCAAGUCGAGGGGAAACGAUAUAGAAAGCUUGCUUUCUUUAGGCGUCGACCGGCGAAUGGGUGAGUAACGCGUAUCCAACCUGCCCCUGAGUAAGGGAUAGCCCAUCGAAAGAUGGAUUAAUACCUUAUGGUCUCCUUUGCAGACAUCUAAUUAGGAGUAAAGAUUUAUCGCUGAGGGAUGGGGAUGCGUCUGAUUAGCUUGUUGGCGGGGUAACGGCCCACCAAGGCAACGAUCAGUAGGGUUCUGAGAGGAAGGUCCCCCACAUUGGUACUGAGACACGGACCAAACUCCUACGGGAGGCAGCAGUGAGGAAUAUUGGUCAAUGGGCGCAAGCCUGAACCAGCCAAGUAGCGUGCAGGAAGACUGCCCUAUGGGUUGUAAACUGCUUUUAUACGGGGAUAAAGUCAGGGUCGUGACCCUGUUUGCAGGUACCGUAUGAAUAAGGACCGGCUAAUUCCGUGCCAGCCGCAGC